GACGAACGCUGGCGGCGUGCCUAAUACAUGCAAGUCGAGCGGACGGAUGGGAGCUUGCUCCCAGACCGUCAGCGGCGGACGGGUGAGUAACACGUGGGCAACCUGCCUGUAAGACUGGGAUAACUCCGGGAAACCGGGGCUAAUACCGGAUAACUCUUUCCCUCACCUGAGGGAAAGCUGAAAGAUGGCAUCUCGCUAUCACUUACAGAUGGGCCCGCGGCGCAUUAGCUAGUUGGUGAGGUAACGGCUCACCAAGGCGACGAUGCGUAGCCGACCUGAGAGGGUGAUCGGCCACACUGGGACUGAGACACGGCCCAGACUCCUACGGGAGGCAGCAGUAGGGAAUCUUCCGCAAUGGACGAAAGUCUGACGGAGCAACGCCGCGUGAGUGAUGAAGGUUUUCGGAUCGUAAAACUCUGUUGUCAGGGAAGAACAAGUACCGGAGUAACUGCCGGUACCUUGACGGUACCUGACCAGAAAGCCACGGCUAACUACGUG
rnacentral:rRNA from 1 species